UACGUAGGGGGCAAGCGUUGUCCGGAUUUAUUGGGCGUAAAGAGCGUGUAGGCGGCCAGGUAGGUCCGUUGUGAAAACUCGAGGCUCAACCUCGAGACGCCGAUGGAAACCAUCUGGCUAGAGUCCGGAAGAGGAGAGUGGAAUUCCUGGUGUAGCGGUGAAAUGCGCAGAUAUCAGGAGGAACACCGAGUGCGAAGGCAGCUCGCUGGGACGUUACUGACGCUGAGACGCGAAAGCGUGGGGAGCAAACAGG
rnacentral:rRNA from 1 species